GACGAACGCUGGCGGCGUGCUUAACACAUGCAAGUCGAACGGAAAGACCCUGCUUUUGUGGGGUGCUCGAGUGGCGAACGGGUGAGUAACACGUGAGUAACCUGCCCUUGACUUUGGGAUAACUUCAGGAAACUGGGGCUAAUACCGGAUAGGAGCUCCUGCUGCAUGGUGGGGGUUGGAAAGUUUCGGCGGUUGGGGAUGGACUCGCGGCUUAUCAGCUUGUUGGUGGGGUAGUGGCUUACCAAGGCUUUGACGGGUAGCCGGCCUGAGAGGGUGACCGGCCACAAGGGGACUGAGAGACGGCCCAGACUCGUACGGGAGGCAGCAGGGGGGAAUAUUGCACAAUGGGCGGAAGCCUGUGGCAGAAACGCCGCGUGCGGGAUGACGGCCUUCGGGUUGUAAACAGAUGUCGCCUGUGACGAAGCGUGAGUGACGGUAAUGGGUAAAGAAGCACCGGCUAACUACGUG
rnacentral:rRNA from 1 species